UCUCGGCAAUUUGAAGAUUCCUCCAGUUCUCCCUGAGCCAACUCAGCAGCAGGCGUGAGUUGGCCUUUAACAUGCCCCUGCCUCCUGCCCCUUGUAUUUCCUGCAGAGGCCUUGCUGACUUGGAGCAUCGCAGGGUCUGUCACCAAGGAAACCUGGGCCUCAAUCCUAGCCACAUCUGCCCACCAUGUGCACCCUAAAUGAAGGAGCUGGUCCAUCCUGGUGACCAGCUAGCCCAGUGUGUCCUCGUGCAAGCAGCAAGAUUCCACAGCCACAGCCAUUAAAGGCUCCUCCAAGUUUCUUCUCAGAUUCACUCUCCUUGAUUCCAUUCACCAAAACAAGUCACAUGGCCAAGGCUACAGCCAGUGCCCGAGAGACACUGCCAAGGUACUGGAGCACCAGGAAGCAGAAAUCACUGGGGCUCUCGUUGCUGCCAUUUACCACACACUGCCCUCAGCAGAUUGAAAGAAGAUCUCCAUAGCAACCAGCCACCGACCACGCCUGAGGCCCAGAGAGUAGCCACGGUGCUUCACGGGGGGGGGGGGGGGCUGCUUGACCUCUUUCUACCCGGGACCUGGAACUACACUGAAUCCUUUUGGGGCUUGGGUGCAUCAUCCAGAGAGAAGGGAGAGGGGUGGGACAUCCUUCAAUGGUCAGACAUGAGAUCUGGACAGAGGAAUUAAGUUGGAGUAUUA